rnacentral:rRNA from 1 species
AUUGAACGCUGGCGGCAUGCUUUGCACAUGCAAGUCGAACGGUAGACCCUUUCGGGGGUUGAGAGUGGCGAACGGGUGAGUAAUGCAUCGGAACGUACCGUGUCGUGGGGGAUAACGUAGCGAAAGUUACGCUAAUACCGCAUACGCACUGAGGUGGAAAGCGGGGGAUCGCAAGACCUCGCGCGAUACGAGCGGCCGAUGUCGGAUUAGCUAGUGGGUGGGGUAAAGGCCUACCAAGGCGACGAUCCGUAGCGGGUCUGAGAGGAUGAUCCGCCACACUGGGACUGAGACACGGCCCAGACUCCUACGGGAGGCAGCAGUGGGAAAUUUUGGACAAUGGGGGAAACCCUGAUCCAGCCAUGCCGCGUGCGGGAAGAAGGCCUUCGGGUUGUAAACCGCUUUCGGACGGAAAGAAAUCGCAUGGGUUAAUACCCUGUGUGGAUGACGGUACCGUAAGAAGAAGCACCGGCUAACUACGUGCCAGCCGCCGCCGUAACAC